GAUGAACGCUGGCGGCGUGCCUAAUACAUGCAAGUCGAGCGAACAGAUGAGGAGCUUGCUCCUCUGACGUUAGCGGCGGACGGGUGAGUAACACAUGGAUAACCUACCUAUAAGACUGGGAUAACUUCGGGAAACCGGAGCUAAUACCGGAUAAUAUAUUGAACCGUAUGGUUCAAUAGUGAAAGACGGUUUUGCUGUCACUUAUAGAUGGAUCCGCGCCGCAUUAGCUAGUUGGUAAGGUAACGGCUUACCAAGGCAACGAUGCGUAGCCGACCUGAGAGGGUGAUCGGCCACACUGGAACUGAGACACGGUCCAGACUCCUACGGGAGGCAGCAGUAGGGAAUCUUCCGCAAUGGGCGAAAGCCUGACGGAGCAACGCCGCGUGAGUGAUGAAGGUCUUCGGAUCGUAAAACUCUGUUAUUAGGGAAGAACAAAUGUGUAAGUAACUAUGCACGUCUUGACGGUACCUAAUCAGAAAGCCACGGCUAACUACGUG
rnacentral:rRNA from 1 species